rnacentral:antisense_RNA from 1 species
GAGCCGGAGCUGGGUGAGUCUACCGCUCACCCCGCGGCCGCACCUGCCAGCCUACCCAGAUGAGGUCUCUUGAGCUGCUUUUUAUCUAAAGGAAGCAGAAGAAAACAGCGAAAUUCAAGAAAAAAAACCUCCAAGGUGGUUGGCUUCUUGGAAAGCCUGAAUGGUGGCCAGGGAUCACCUGGGCUCCCAAGGAGUGGAGGGAAGAGGGAUUCAGUUCCACAGGAAAUAAAUGAGAACAGCCCGGUGGAGAAGACAAUGACAACUGCAGGACAACACCUCAACCGCUCCAGAAAACAGCCCUUGCUCCUCCUUCUGGCCUUUCCACACUUCCAAGUUACUGUUUUAAAGGAAAAAAAAUGUGUGUGUGUGGCAGUUUAUUCUCUGUGACAAAAACAUGACCAUCCGGGAGGAGAGGGGCUAACGGUGCAACCAACUGAGGCUGAAACACAGCUUCAGCUGAAAUGCAGCUUCUGCAGAGCAGGGGCUGCCUUCCCUCUGAGCCCUUCAGCUGCUCACCCUGUCCCUGCAGC